ACCCUCAUCCUGGCCUGGAGCCCCGAGGAGGCCGGGCGCUACCUGGAGACCUACAAGGCCUACGAGCAGAAACCGGCCGACCUGCUCAUGGAAAAGGUGGAGCGGGAUUUCCUGUCCCGGAUGACGGAUUGUCUGACCAGCGUCAAGUCGGUCAACAAGACGGACACGGGCAGCCUCCUGGCCACCUUCGG